CAGGACUCCGUUGUGCUUGAUCUAACCAUGUGGUUUGAAAUUUACUCAUGGUUGUGCCAAGCACCCUGGAGGCUUG
rnacentral:pre_miRNA from 1 species